AAAAAUUUGGUGCACACUGAAUAACGCGUGUAGCGGGUUAUUUAACAGUGUGCACCACAUUUUUUAUGUUAUUUCGAAUAGACAGAAAAAAUAUUACAGUCAUUUCUUAUAAUUUAAUACUAAAUUUCAUUUCAAACCGUAGAAAACCAAAAAAAUGUUGAUGAUGUCACGGUCACAUGACUAAAUUAUGUCUAUGGACUCAUAACAAAAUAAUGUCAGCCAAUCAGAAGACGUGUUACAUCCAAAAUCAAAUUGUUGUAAAAUAAUCAGAAAAUUAAAUCAGAAAUCCACUUCAUUAUUUCAACUCGUGAAAAUAAAUACAAGAUUAUACCAUAAACAUGAUAAAAGCAAUAUAUGUACUUGUUAGCAUGAUAUUCAUACACACUUUAAUCACUCAUUCACACAUUACAAUGUAAUAUUUACAAUACAUGAUCAUCCGCAUGCAGAACUGUGUGGUCAAUAUCAUUGGUUUUGUACAUCACGAAAAAAUGCAUCAAUCAUAUAUUGCAUGAUAAUGGAAAAAAAAAGGAUUUAUUAAUUUCUAUUAUUUUGUACAUAACUCUACAGUGAUAUAACUCUGUAAAAUUCAACUGAAUGUUUUAAUUACUUUCUAUUUUUAAGGAAAUGUUAAGUUUUCCAAUGAUUAAUGAUUUAUAUUUUUGCCAAAGGGUCAAAGUACUGUGGAUUCAUUUAUUUUCGUGGGUACCAAUUUUUGUGGAUUAGGGAAAACUUGCAUGUUCGUGGAUAUUUAAUUUCGUGGUUUUAAUGCAGUCUACAUACAAGCCUAUAGCAAAUUUGUCAUUCGUGGAACAUUAAAUUUCGUGAUUCACCUGUAACCACGAAAUCCAUGAAAAUUGGUAUCCAACGAAAAUUGAUGAAUCCACAGUAAGUAUUUUAUGAAAAUUUUCUCAAAAUUAAACGAGCUUAAUUAGUUUUAAUCAGAGUUUGGUAUCACCCUAAGGACUCUUGCUUUUGAUUUUUGUCAGAUGUUAAGAACCCUACGUUUCCUUUAGUCUAAAAAUUCAUAUUUGAAAUUUCUUAGAAAACCUUUAUUAUUUUUCAAUUGUUUUUUGACAGGAAAAAGGUGUUGAUGUCAGAUGCAUGAAAAAUCUAAGAGAAUCAUUUACCACCAUAUCAUGAUUUCAUCUCAAAACCCAAGACACAGAAUUACUAUUUAUUAAGACUUUGAUAUUCUGAAACGAAGAAGUAAAACAUCCUUAAAAAGUCAAUAAAAGACUUAACCUUUAGUCAAUAUUACAUGACAAGUCAUUAAUAUUCUCUAAUCUAAGGAAAACAAAUAUAAUGAUCAUGUGUAUUUGGUAGCAUUCCCGUCAGAAAGAAUUUCACAAGUUCCCCACAUAGAUCAUUCAGCAAAUGUUGGACAGUACAUCUUUUUAUAGUGUAUGAAAAAUCUUAAGAAUGCCCCAAUCAUAAUGCAUUACUAACUUAUUUCAAAUUUACCAUAGACAUUCUGGUAUACUUUCUUCAUCAGAAAAAAAGUUAUACAUAUUUUCAUGACAUCCUAAAAAUAAGCAAGCUGGACUCUCUGUAUGCCUAUUCUAAUGUUUGAGCCAAAAAAGAUUCUAUGCAUUAAGUUUUAACAUUCUCAAAAUAUGUUAAACAUUUGGAUAAGUUUGGUAUGAUAUUAAAGCUUAAGGACCCAAUAUCUGAUACCUUUUUAAAUUGUAUGAAAAUGUAAAAUAUGGGCAUAUUUUGCCAAUUUUCCAAUCAGAACUUUAGUAGUAUAUAUUUGUGGACCACAUGUUAUCCUAUACUAGUAGACAAUUUGUAAACCUGAUUAAAUUUUAUUUGCUCUGACUUGGAAAUAGACAAAUUUAAAAUUGUAAUUCAUCAAAACAAAACUUCAACAGAAUCAACUAUGUUCUGAAAUCUUCAUGUAUUAUUUCUUCUAUCUUUCUCUUUAAUUAGAAAGCAAGUUUAAAAAUUGUAAAUUAGGUUUUGGUGACCUAUAUAAUUACAUUGUACCAUUUAUGGUGUCCUAGUAUCUAAAUAUUUAAUGUUUUUGGGGUUAAACAGUGAGAUUAAUAUAAUGGGAAUUGUCUAUAUAGGUAACUAUUAAGACAAUUACACAUAUAGUAUUAUGCAUAUGUUUUUAUUUUCAUUGGAUCUUUAUUUUCACAGAAAUAAAGAAAUGUAUAAUUAUUUUUUUCCCAAAGCCAUUCUACAACGAUUUUCAAGUUUUCAUACAACAUUUUGGAAGCAAACUUAAUAAACAACUGAUAUUGGCAAUUUUGUAAUAUGUCUUAUUUUUUGAUUGGUCUAACUGUAUGCUAUUUUGUUAUACCAAAGAUUUCCUCCCGCCCAGACCAUUGGUGUCAAAAAGCAUUUUUACAACAUUUUAGAAGCCCAGCGACGAUAUAGUAUUAUGCAUAUGUUUACUGUCAAUUCAGUUUAUAUUAAUACAGAUAAUGGGUGAUAAUCGCAAUACUUAGAUAUCUUAUACAUACAUCUGUAUGCAAAUUCUCCUAAAAUUGCAAUAAUAAAUUUCACAGUUGUAUAAUCCACUAUAAUUCUCAAUUACAAUUGUCUGGGUGGCGGGUGCUGACAAAAACUGCCUUCCAACCCCCCCCAUACAUUUUUUUCUGGAAUAGCCCUUAUAUUAAUACGGAUAAUGGGUGAUAAUCGCAAUACUUAGAACUCGCAUUCAGAUAUCUUAUACAUACAUCUAUAUGCAAAUUCUCCUAAAAUUGCAAUAAUGAAUUUCACAGUUUUGUCCAUAUCUUUAAAAUUUGUGCAAUAAUUUCAGAAUUUAUAGCACAUGUUUUCUGACUUUCAAUUCAAGUCAAAGACACAAAUAUAUAAUACUGACCAAUAUCAUUCACAAAAAGAAAACUAAAUCUUGGACUUUUU
rnacentral:lncRNA from 1 species